rnacentral:rRNA from 1 species
GACAUAGGUGACGAACGUUAUCCGGAAUUAUUGGGCGUAAAGGAUGCGUAGAUGGUUCGAUAAGUUACUAGUGGGAAAUCGAGGCUCAACCUCGUGGAAGCUGGUAAUACUGUCAAGCUCGAGUGCAGGAGAGGUUAACGGAACUUUAUGUGGAGCGGUAAAAUGCGUAGAUAUAUGAAAGAACACCAAUAUAGCGAAGGCAGUUAACUAUUCUGCUACUGACAUUGAGGCAUGAAAGCGUGGGGAGCAAAACGG